CCAACGGUAUUUCGUCGUUGUUUCUAUGUAAUAGUUCACAUUUUCAUUUGUGAACGCGGCAUUGAGUUCAAGGUGUGUUUGUUCGUGGUGAUGCGUAGUUUUGGCGGUUAUGUUUGAUGUCGUAGAUCGAAUCAAUUAUUCUUAAUGUUUAUUUUAUUUUACUUUCCUCGAUGUUUUAGUUUAUCGUGAAGACAAUCCAGAUGACUGUGCGAAGGCUUGCUUCCUUGAGGAGACUUCUACCGGAAUCCUGGAUAUUCUUCUGUCACUGCUUUUCUGGUCAGAGCGAUCUUCUCUGCUGUAUGCUCCCAGUACAUGGAGAGACUUCGUGAGAUGUGUCUUGAUGUUAUUUUACUCGUUUGGUUUUGGUGAUUAUGAUUUUAAAUGGUGAAUAUAGAGGUGUCUUCGUCAAAGGUUCCUUAUGCAGACUGUCCUGCGCAAGAAGAUGGGUUCCAAAAUGUGUGAGUGGUCCUAGAAAGCGUAGUCAACGUGUGAAGUAUCGUGGGCAAGAACGAAGAAUCGUGUGACAUUUGUGUUGAUUAUGUUCGACGCUGAUUUAUAUAUAUAUAUAUAUAUAUAUAUAUUAUUUUGUUGGUUAAAUAUUCAGUCAGUUUAGUUGAAUAUUCUGUAAUGUAAUAUUCGCAAGGUAGUUUCAUAUAUUUAUUUUACAAAUGUACAGAUUCCUUGAGUUUAUCUAAAUAUUAAUUAGUUUUAAUAAUAUAA